AGCGAACGCUGGCGGCAGGCCUACACAUGCAAGUCGAACGAAGUCUUCGGACUUAGUGGCGGACGGGUGAGUAACACGUGGGAACGUGCCUUUAGGUUCGGAAUAACUCAGGGAAACUUGUGCUAAUACCGAAUGUGCCCUUCGGGGGAAAGAUUUAUCGCCUUUAGAGCGGCCCGCGUCUGAUUAGCUAGUUGGUGAGGUAAAGGCUCACCAAGGCUACGAUCAGUAGCUGGUCUGAGAGGAUGACCAGCCACAUUGGGACUGAGACACGGCCCAAACUCCUACGGGAGGCAGCAGUGGGGAAUCUUGCGCAAUGGGCGAAAGCCUGACGCAGCCAUGCCGCGUGGAUGAUAAAGGUCUUAGGAUUGUAAAAUCCUUUCACCGGUGAAGAUAAUGACUGUAGCCGGAGAAGAAGCCCCGGCUAACUUCGUGCCAGCCGCCGCGGUAACAC
rnacentral:rRNA from 1 species